AUUUCCAUUAUCUAGACAAGGGAACUGAGGUCAAGCAUUGGAGUGAAAGUCACCUAGGUGGCUUUUUUUCUUUUUUAACCUAUUUAUUUCUUUCAACCCUUAGCCCAGAUCCUAACCUUCGGUUUGAAGACAUACCUGAUAUCGGGUCAGAGAGCCAAGGAGUCUCGCUGCAGCUGUGCAGAGGCCUUGCUUUCUGGCUUUGAGGUCAUUGACGGCUCACAGGUGUCCUCAGGCCCUAGGGGACAGGGGACAGCGUCAUCAGGGAAUGUCAGUGACUUGGCGCAGACUGUCAAAACCUUUGAUAACCUUAAGACCUGCCCUUCGUGCGGAAUCACAUUUGCUCCCAAAUCUGAAGCCGGCGCCGAGGGAGGAGCACCUCAAAACGGCUGCCAAGACGAGCAUAAAAACAGCACCAAGCCUGAUGAAAGAUUACUUUUUUAAGCCGCCCAUUAAUCAGUUCAGCCUGAACUUCCUGGAUCAGGAGCUGGAGCGAUCCUACAGGACCAGCUAUCAGGAAGAGGUCAUAAAGAACUCCCCCGUGAAGACGUUUGCUAGUCCCACCUUCAGCU
rnacentral:lncRNA from 1 species